rnacentral:rRNA from 1 species
GACGAACGCUGGCGGCGUGCCUAAUACAUGCAAGUCGAACGCAGUGGGGACGGGUGAGUAACACGUGGGUAACCUCCCAUCAGAGGGGAUAACACUUGGAAACAGGUGCUAAACCGAUACAGAUGGAUGGACCCGCGGUGCAUUAGCUAGUUGGUGAGGUAACGGCUCACCAAGGCAACGAUGCAUAGACGAGCUGGGAGGGAUAACGGGCAAACGUGGACUGGGACACGGCCCCGGAUCCGACGGGAGGCAGGAGUAGGGAAUUGUUGGAAAUGGAAGAAAGUCUGACCGAGCAACGCCGCGGGAGGGAAGAAGGUUUUCGGAUCGGAAAACUCGGUUGUUAGAGAAGCGGUAUCUAACCAGAAAGCCACGGCUAAAUAAGUGCCAGCAGCCGCGGGAAUUC